rnacentral:rRNA from 1 species
GACGAACGCUGGCGGCGUGCUUAACACAUGCAAGUCGAACGGAAAGGCCCUGCUUGCAGGGUACUCGAGUGGCGAACGGGUGAGUAACACGUGGGUGAUCUGCCCUGCACUUCGGGAUAAGCCUGGGAAACUGGGUCUAAUACCGGAUAGGAGCCAUUUUUAGUGUGAUGGUUGGAAAGUUUUUUCGGUGUAGGAUGAGCUCGCGGCCUAUCAGCUUGUUGGUGGGGUAAUGGCCUACCAAGGCGGCGACGGGUAGGCGGCCUGAGAGGGUGGACGGCCACAUUGGGACUGAGAUACGGCCCAGACUCCUACGGGAGGCAGCAGUGGGGAAUAUUGCACAAUGGGCGCAAGCCUGAUGCAGCGACGCCGCGUGGGGGAUGACGGCCUUCGGGUUGUAAACUCCUUUCGCUAGCGACGAAGCUUUUUGUGACGGUACCUAGAUAAGAAACACCGGCGAACUACGU